rnacentral:rRNA from 1 species
AGUGAACGCUGGCGGCAGGCCUAACACAUGCAAGUCGAACGGCAGCACAGUAAGAGCUUGCUCUUACGGGUGGCGAGUGGCGGACGGGUGAGGAAUACAUCGGAAUCUACUUUUGCGUGGGGGAUAACGUAGGGAAACUUACGCUAAUACCGCAUACGACCUACGGGUGAAAGCAGGGGAUCUUCGGACCUUGCGCGAUUGAAUGAGCCGAUGUCGGAUUAGCUAGUUGGCGGGGUAAAGGCCCACCAAGGCGACGAUCCGUAGCUGGUCUGAGAGGAUGAUCAGCCACACUGGAACUGAGACACGGUCCAGACUCCUACGGGAGGCAGCAGUGGGGAAUAUUGGACAAUGGGCGCAAGCCUGAUCCAGCCAUGCCGCGUGGGUGAAGAAGGCCUUCGGGUUGUAAAGCCCUUUUGUUGGGAAAGAAAAGCAGCAGGUUAAUACCCCGCUGUUCUGACGGUACCCAAAGAAUAAGCACCGGCUAACUUCGUG